rnacentral:lncRNA from 10 species
CUUUCCUGCUUCCUCACCCGCUGUAGCAAGCAGGUGUGGAGUCGAGUCGGAGGCAGGCGCUGGCUGCGUGGACCCCCGGGUGGGAUUCCACCCGCGACAAGGCACCCAGGCCCUUUGGGCGGGGCUCCCCUGGGGUCCGCGUCCCCGCCGCCUCCCCCGGGCCUCUGCUGGGCUGGCUGGAGGCAGGAGGCCCCGGUUAGCAGGUGGUGGGGAACUGGGUCCCGGGGUUGGAGGCAGGAAGGUCCCCACGGGCCCCGCGCACCGUUUGCCGCGCACGGGAAGCGGCGAGGCCGGCGGGGCAGCGGCUUCUGGGCAUUGUUCUCGGACCGCGCGGCGCUCGGUUGGCAUCAAAGGGGACCGCGCAACCCGACACCACGGCGGGCGCGGGGACAGAGGCCUGAGGGCGGCGGGGACAGAGGCGCACAAGGCCCGGCCCGCGGCGAGGAGCCUCAACAGGGCCAGCAUCCUGAGCCCCACCUGCAGGCCCUGGGCGCUUUCCUCCUGGCAGCUGUGCCCCCACCCGACCGGACCGCUCCCUGCAACCAGAGAGCCCUCACACCAGCAACACCCCCCAGCCUGCUCCCUCCUCGUGUGCGCGAAACUCAUGGCACUGGCUUGACGGCUUUCUCUGAAACCCUCUGAUUCCGCCUGGCCCAUCCACACUGUCCCUUCCCGGCCAGGGCUCAUCUCCUAUGCCUGGACCAAACAGCGUAGUCUCCAGUCUCCCUGAUCUCCCCACACGUGGCCCCACCCAUCCUCUGAAGCAGCCCCAGGAGGCAGCAGUGACUUCACACUUCUAGUGCCCGGCCCUCCCGGCCCUCCUCUCUGGGCUUGCUUGCCAGGGUCCUCCCAACCUGACUGCUGCCUCCCACCUCCUCUCCGCCCCUGGAGCUCUCCAGCCGCAGCCGCGGGGCCUGCUUGGGAUUCUCCUCUGCUGGCAUCAUCCCUGCCUGCCUCAGCCUUCCCAGGCCCAAUCCUGCCCGAUCUCACCUCUUCCCGCCCAGCCACCUGGUCGGGUCCCGACCAGCAUCUGCCUUCAAACCUGGAGUCCUUCCCUGAGUGCUUGCGGUGCACUGUGAGGAAGGAAAUCAAUGUAAAGGAUUAUGACCCACAUUUUUUAAAAAUAAAAAGAUUAAGGAGAACAGCAUAGAGUAGAAGUGGUCAUCGCACACUUCUGCAAAACUUUUGUUUCUCAGGUGGAUGGAGGAG